GGCUUCGUGGUCUAGUGGUAUGAUUCCUGCUUUGGGUAACAUGUCUAAAUUGCAGGAGGCCCCGCGUUCGAAUCGCGGCGGAGCCC